rnacentral:tmRNA from 2 species
GGGGGCGCACUGGCUUCGACGGGGACGUAGAAACCGGAGCGGCAGGCCGAGGCGCCGCUGGCCUCGUAAAAAGCGGCAACAAAAGUAAUUGCCAACAACGAUUACGACUACGCUUACGCUGCCUAAUAACAGCGAGGCAAAGACCGCCUAGGCGGUCACGUCGCGCGGGGCCACGCCUGAUAACCCCGUGCGGCGACAUUUAUCAGGCUGGCAGAGACCGGUGCCCACCGGGGUCUUCUGCGAGGAGGUUACCGGCGGGAUUGCCGUCCUGCGCCUGGUCGGGGGCCAUCAGGACGGUGAAAGCCAUACUCGACCUAAGCCUGUAGAUGCUUCGUGUGGAAUGUUCGCGGACGGGGGUUCGACUCCCCCCGCCUCCACCA